rnacentral:rRNA from 1 species
UUUCCGUAGCAAUACGGGGAUGGGCGCACGGCGCACGGGUGCGUAACACGUGGGCAAUCUGCCCUCCGAUGGGGAAUACCCCCGCGAAAGCGGGACUAAUUCCGCAUAACAUUCCUUGGAUUAACUUUCGAGGAUUCAAAGCAGCAAUGCGUCGGAGGAGGAGCCCGCGCCCGAUUAGCUAGUUGGUGAGGUAACGGCUCACCAAGGCAAUGAUCGGUAGCUGGUCUGAGAGGAUGGCCAGCCACACUGGAACUGAGACACGGUCCAGACUCCUACGGGAGGCAGCAGUGGGGAAUCUUGCACAAUGGGCGAAAGCCUGAUGCAGCGACGCCGCGUGGGGGAUGAAGCUUUUCGGAGUGUAAACCCCUUUCGACUGGGACGAAUGCCUCGCAAGAGGAGUGACGGUACCAGUAUAAGAAGCCCCGGCUAACUACGUGCCAGCAGCCGCGGUAAGACGUAGGGGGCCAGCGUUGUUCGGAAUUACUGGGUGUAAAGGGUUCGUAGGCGGUGUGGCAAGUCGGGAGUGAAAUCUCUGGGCUCAACCCAGAGACUGCUUCCGAAACUGCUGUGCUUGAGUGUGAGAGAGGCUCGUGGAAUUGCAGGUGUAGCGGUGAAAUGCGUAGAUAUCUGCAGGAACACCCGUGGCGAAAGCGGCGAGCUGGAUCACUACUGACGCUGAGGAACGAAAGCUAGGGGAGCAAACAGGAUUAGAUACCCUGGUAGUCCCAGCCCUAAACGAUCAGGACUUGGGGUGCCGCCCGUUCGGGCGUCGUCCCGGAGCUAACGCGUUAAGUCCUGCACCUGGGGAGUACGGUCGCAAGACUGAAACUC